rnacentral:rRNA from 1 species
GAUGAACGCUGGCGGCGUGCCUAACACAUGCAAGUCGAGCGAAGCACUUUGCUUGGAUUCUUCGGAUGAAGAGGAUUGUGACUGAGCGGCGGACGGGUGAGUAACGCGUGGGUAACCUGCCUCAUACAGGGGGAUAACAGUUAGAAAUCAUUGCUAAUACCGCAUAUGCCAUAGAUAUCACAUGAUAACAGUGGGAAAGGAGCAAUCCGCUAAUAGAUGGCCUUGCGUCUGAUUAGAUAGUUGGUGGGGUAACGGCCUACCAAGUCGACGAUCAGUAGCCGGACUGAGAGGUUGAACGGCCACAUUGGGACUGAGAUACGGCCCAG